UUCGUAGGUGGCAAGCGUUAUCCGGAAUUAUUGGGCGUAAAGAGCGCGCAGGUGGUUGAUUAAGUCCGGUGUGAAAGCCCACGGCUUAACCGUGGAGGGUCAUUGGAAACUGGUCGACUUGAGUGCAGAAGAGGGAAGUGGAAUUCCAUGUGUAGCGGUGAAAUGCGUAGAGAUAUGGAGGAACACCAGUGGCGAAGGCGGCUUCCUGGUCUGUAACUGACACUGAGGCGCGAAAGCGUGGGGAGCAAACAGGAUUAGAUACCCGUGUA
rnacentral:rRNA from 1 species